AGCUGUGCCCCGGUGGAAGGCUACUGCCAAGAAUAACGUGGAGACCGAGGCUGAGGUCCCAAAACAAGAUGGUAGUGUGCAGGUCUCUGUCUGUAGUGAGUGCCAGAGCCUGGCCUUUGCAGUGCUAGGUGAGGGAGACAGCACUUGUGUAAGAUGCAACCAGGUAAAUGACUUACUCAGCCCUGUGGUUGACCUGAAGCAGGAGGUAGAGAGGCUGAGGAGCAUAAAGAAAUGUGAGAGGGAGAUGGAUUGAUGGUGCCAAACCCUAUCAUCCCCGAGAUCUUGGCAGCCAGCUGAGGCUCCACACGGAGUAAAUCACCCCCUGCCACCUUGCAAACAGCUGACAGAGGAGAACCUGCAGGCAGACAGUGUUCCUGCUGCAGUGAACCCCCUAUUCUCUCCUCCCACUAGGAACAACAGUGAAAAAUCAGGGGGUGUGGAGCAGUGGCAGAGGGCCCCUGCUCGGUGAUGCAGGUGUGCCCUCCCAGAGAUUCCCCUGCCUCCCCAGCUGCCCCUGCAGAAUAGGUACAGUGCUCUGCAGGGACAACUGGAUAAUGGCAGUGAUGAUGGUUCUCCCUACUUAGUGGUGUUACCAAAGUCUAACCAGUCCUCACUUAGCAUUUAAACCUUAUUGGCAAAGAAAAAACGACAGGUCGUUGUCAUUGGUGACUCUCUGCUGAAGGGAACAGAAGGGCCAAUGUGUAGACUAGACCCUCUACACAGGGAGGUCUGCUGCCUUCCGGGAGCCAGAGUCAAGGACAUGAGGAAGAAACUUCUUUCCCUAGUUCAGCCCUCAGGUUUCUAUCGCCUGUUGUUGUUUCAGGUUGGCAGUGAUGAUAAUAGGAAGAAAUUCCCUAAAGACUAUGAAAAAGGACUUCAGAGUCUUGGGGUGACAGGUAAAGGGUUCGGGAGUACAAGUUGUGUUCUCCUCUAUCCCUCCAGUUAUAGGGAACAAUGAGGGACUAAAACUGAUGGGCCAAUGGAUUAAUACCUGGCUCCAAGCCUGGUGUUCCUGGCAGGGGUUUGUGUUUUUUGACCUCUGCUCUGUUUGCAUGAGACCAGGCCAGCUGGGAACCUAUAGGAGUAGCUUCUCCCACUGGUGGAUAGGGGCCUUAAGACAGGAGUUGGGAAGGUUCAUUCAUAGAGCUUUAAACUAGGUAUGAAGGGAGGUGGGGGUGUAACUGGGGUCACUAGAACGGAGCCUGUAUGUAACAUCUCAGUGCUUGUAGAAGAGGGAUGUGAUAGUAAGAUCCCCCAGUCUUGUGUCUCGGUGAAGGAGGAUGACUCCUUUUGUAGGAAGAACACAAGGGUUGAUGUGAGGUUGGUGGCUGUGGAAACACCUGAGUAUCGUCAUGAGGGUAUUAGGGCACCUGCCACUCAAAAGGAGGCCCAGCUCAGGUACCUUUACACUAACGCACACAGCACGAGUAAUAAACAGGAGGAGCCGGAGGCCACUGUGUGGUCGGAAAGCUAUGAUACAGUCACCAUCAUGGAAACAUGGUGGAAUGGCUCGCACAGCUGGCAUGCUAUGAUGGAUGGCUCCCGACUUUUCAAAAGAGACAGGCAAGACAGGAAGGGUGGUGGUGUAGCCUUCUAUGUUAAGAAUGUGAACAUAUGGAAACUAAUGAUGAUGAUGAUAGGGUUGAGAACUUAUGGGUCAGAAUAAAAGCAAAGGCCAAUAAGACUGAUAUUAUCAUGGGAGUCUGCUACAGGCCAUCCAGCCAGGAUGAAGAGGUGGACAAGACACUUUAUAGACAGUUGGGUGAGGUCUCAAGGUUUCUCCCCCUUGUUCUUACGGGGGACUUCAACUUCCCAGACAUCUGCUGGAUUUAUAAUACAGCAGAUAAAUAACAGUCCUGGAGGUUCCUAGAGAGUGUGGGAGAUAACUUCCUGACACAGCUGGUGAGGGAGCCAAUGAGGGGAAGCAAAAUCCUGGACCUGCUGUUUGUUAACAGAGAAGGUCUUGUGAGGGAUGUAAAGGUUGGAGGCCAUCUGGGGCAUAGUGAUCAUGAGAAGCUAGAUUUCUUGAUCCUUGUUGAAACCACAGAGGGGAGUCAACAGAACUGUCACCUUGGACUUCGGGAGGGCAGACUUAAACCUCUUUAGGACCAUGGUUGAGAGGGUCCCUUGGGAGUAGUUUUGAAGAACGUGGGAGCCCAGGAAGGCUGGGAAUACUUUAAGGAAGUUAUUUUAGAGGUGCAGGAGCUGACCAUCCUCAAGUCACAGAAGACAAAUCGACGAGCAAAGAGGCCACACUGGCUGAACAGAGACCUUUGGCUGGAUCUCAAGAACAAAAAGAAAGUUUAUGGUCUCUGAAAGAGUAGGCAAGCUACUUAUGAUGAUUACAGGUAUGUAGUGAAGCUGUGCAGGGAGAAAAUUAGAAAAGCCAAAGCCCAGCUAGAACUGAACUUGGCCACUAAGGUAAAGGAAAACAAUAAAUAUUUUUAUAAAUACAUCAACAGCAAGAGGAGAGCUAGGGAGAAUCUCCAUCCCUUGUUGUAUGCCGAAGGCAAUUUGGUGACACAAGGAUCAGGAUGAGGCUGAGGUACUUAAUGCCUUCUUUGUCUCAGUCUUUAAUAGUAAGACUUGUUAUGCCCUGGGAACACAGCCUCCUGUGCUGGUAGGUAGGGAGGGGGAACAGAAUAAGCCCUGCAUGAUCCAUGAUGAGGUGGUUUUGGACCUGCUCCAAAAGCUGGAUGCUCACAAGUCCAUUGGGCUGGAUGGACUGCACCUUGGAGUGCUGAGGGAGUUGGUGGAUGUGGUUGCCAAGCCACUCUCCAUCAUUCUCCCGCAGUCCUGGCUAACCGGGGAUGUCCCAGCAGACUGUAGACUGGCAAAUGUGACACCCAUCUUCAGAAAGAGCUGGAAAAAUGAUCCUGCUAGCUACAGACCUAUCAGUUUCACCUCGGUGCCGGGGAAUGUUAUGGAAUGGAUAAUCUCAGGACUCAUCAUGGACCAGUAAAGGUCAACCAGGGGAUCAGGCCCAGUCAGCAUGGGUUUACAAAUGGUAGAUCCUGUCUGACAAACCUGAUUUCAUUCCAUAACAAGGUGACACACUUGGUGGAUGAAGGUAAGGCUGUCGAUGUGGUUUACCUGGACUUCAGUAAGGCCUUUGACACUGUUCCCCACAACAUCCUCGUGGAGAAGCUGGCUGCCCACAGUUUGGAUGGGCAUUCGCUCUGUUGGGUGAAACAUUGGCUGGAUGGCUGGGCCAAAAGAGCUGUGGUCAGUGGAGUUAAAUCCAGUUGGUGACCAGUCAUGAGUGGUGUCCCCCACAGCUCAGUACUGGGGCUGCUUCUAUUUAAUAUCUUUAUUAAUGAUCUUGAUGAGGGGAUUGAUGACUCUUUGUCUCGCUCCAAUUUAUAGGAGGGAGAGGAGGUUCUUUGAAAUAUGUAUGCCCGGCGUGAGAUUAAGAAACAACGGUUCAAAUGUUGGUCCGAC
ensembl:lncRNA